rnacentral:rRNA from 1 species
AUGGCGGGCAAGGAGGAGGCGGGGAAGUUGAUGGUCAGUCCGGGCAGCGCUGCCAAUUCGACGGAGGCCGGCGUCGAUGGUCCUGCGGCGGUGUUCCCCUCCGCCGCCGGAUCCAUCUACACGGAGGGUGACGAGUCAGAGAAAGGGGUAGCUGCGAUUGACAAGAUGCUUGGGGAGGCGAAUCUGUCGUCCGCCGUCGCCAAUCAGCCGGCCGCAGCACCGCCAGGUCCAAACAAGGGCAAGGUUCGGCUGUCGAAAGCCGAGAUCAGGACCAUAAUUGCGCUGAAGCCGGAGCAACACCCCAGCGCCGAUUACCUGGACGAUCUGGCAGAGUAUUUCCCUCCGGAGUGGAUUGAGGAAAGGAAGCGUGCCCAUGCUGACAGUGUAGAGCUUUUCAAGAAGAUGGACGACGAUUUCGAAGAGUACCGGCAGCAGGUCUUAGUGUCUGUGCGGGACAAGGGCUACUUCGAGGUCGAUGAGGAGCUCAUUUCCAAAUUCCAACAGGGAAAAGGCGAAUGA